GUUAGGUUCAGAGGGACCUAAGUGUUCUGGACAGAUCCUAGGCUCCUCAAACGACUAGAGAGGAAUUGGCAAGGACAGCUUCAUGGGAAUUUAGCUGAGCUGUACCUGAACUGGUUGGGUAGUCUUCUAGACAGUGGAGCAGGACAGAAGGUGUUCUCAGCACCCUUAUACCCAACCACUUCCAUAGUCCUUACCCACUGUUUGCUCAGCAUGCUUUACUGAAUCCUGAAAAUUCUUUGGCUCCCAAUUUAUCUACAUUCUCAGGAGCAAAGGGUUAAUUGUGGCAAGAGCUGAAGAUCCAGUACUCUGCUCACGCCAUCCUUUUACUCUCAUCGGACAUGGGCUUUUCUGGAAUGUACCUCAUUCAGCCGGCUCAAGCUAUUCGGCCACACCUCGAGGCCGAUUUCAAAAGGCCAAGUUGAAAAGAAAAAAAAAAGUGGAAAAAAGCAUCGUGCCAACUGUAAAUAUUUUGGAGGCACGUAAUGUUUAUCUUUUAUGGAAGUUUCCAUGGGCCUAGUACAGCCUGACUCAUUACAAAUCACUAACUGUCCCCAUUCUCUGCGGUAGCUGCUGGAUCUUCACCAUGGCCUCACCCUUAAAUCAGGCACCCCUCACUGGUUCUUCAUUUGCACUCAGCAGCUUCCCACCCAUUGCCAGCUUCUCCUCUUCCCAUAGCCUCUCCAGCGUCUCCCAGCAGUGCAAAGGAAACCUGCAAUCUCAAACACGGAGAAGUUAUGAUCUCGGGGUGGUGAGAUCGAGCCCUGCAUCGGGCUCCAUGCUCGACAGGGAGUCGGCUUGGGUAUCUCUCUCCCUCUCCCUCUACCCCUCCCUACUGUGCACUUACACUCUCUCUCAAAUAAAGAAAUCUUUAAAAAAAAAAAAAAGAAUGCCAAUAGCGUUGCUGAUUGUUGUCAGCAUAAGUCUUAGAGUGUGUAAAGGAUAUAAUGCAUGCACAGUCAGAAAGCCUGCAUUAGCCAGUGGUUAUAAUUUUAUUAGUAACUUCCUGUUUAGUCUGGAGCAAAUCUUAUUUCUACCUUUCAACAGAAAAUGAGGUUAUAAUAACAUUAUUGUAAUCUUUCACAGCAAGGUUGUGUGAAUAUAAUGCUUUAUCAUUUCUAAGCCCACAGGGGGGAAAAGAAAAAAAGCACACGCAUUGUAAAUCUGAGUUUGCUGACUCUCAGGAAGAAUGCUGAAGCCCGGCUAGGGCCAUCAUUGGCCUCCACCAGAUGUCGCUUCCUGGUGCUUCAGACAGGUUGUACCUUCUUCAGAAUUAUGCACACGGUACAUUAAUAGCAACAACAUCUAUGAAGACCUUUUUGCAUAUAUGAUACGUGCCAGUGAUUCUCUUGCUAAGCUUAG
rnacentral:lncRNA from 1 species